rnacentral:tRNA from 1 species
GGGAAUAUGGCUCAGUGGUAAGAGUGCAUGCCUCACAUGCAAUAAACCCUGGGUUCAAUUCCUCAGUACCA